UACGUAGGGUGCGAGCGUUGUCCGGAAUUACUGGGCGUAAAGAGCUCGUAGGUGGUUUGUCGCGUUGUUCGUGAAAACUCACAGCUCAACUGUGGGCGUGCGGGCGAUACGGGGCAAGCUAGAGUGUGGUAGGGGAGAUCGGAAUUCCUGGUGUAGCGGUGAAAUGCGCAGAUAUCAGGAGGAACACCGGUGGCGAAGGCGGAUCUCUGGGCCAUUACUGACGCUGAGGAGCG
rnacentral:rRNA from 1 species